GACGAACGCUGGCGGCGUGCUUAACACAUGCAAGUCGAACGGUGAAGCGCCUUCCUUUUUGGUGGGUGUGGAUGAGUGGCGAACGGGUGAGUAACACGUGAGUAACCUGCCCCCUUCUUCUGGAUAACCGCAUGAAAGUGUGGCUAAUACGGGAUAUUCUGGGUCUGUCGCAUGAUGGGUCUGGGAAAGAUAUUGUUUCGGUGGGGGAUGGGCUCGCGGCCUAUCAGCUUGUUGGUGGGGUGAGGGCCUACCAAGGCGGUGACGGGUAGCCGGCCUGAGAGGGUGGACGGUCACACUGGGACUGAGCCACGGCCCAGACUCCUACGGGAGGCAGCAGUGGGGAAUAUUGCACAAUGGGCGCAAGCCUGAUGCAGCGACGCCGCGUGAGGGAUGGAGGCCUUCGGGUUGUGAACCUCUUUCGCCAGUGAAGCAGGCCUGCCUCGUUUGUGGGUGGGUUGACGGUAGCUGGAUAAGAAGCGCCGGCUAACUACGUG
rnacentral:rRNA from 1 species